UCUGGAAGAUGGGUAAUCGCUACGUUCAGUUAACAUGAAUGUAGAGGAAAGUCCAGGCAGCAGAAGGCAAGGGUGUUCCGGCUAAUACCGGGAGCGGGUAAUCGCCAGUUAGAGCAACAGAGACGAGUCUUGCGUAAGCCUAAAGCUUAUGUGAGGGUGAAACGGGCAAUCCUCCCCGCUGCAACCUGCGAAUGGAGCAUUUGAGGUAGCCUUCCCGACGCUCCGAGGUCAGGGCUUAGAUAGAUGAUUACUGAAAUACAGAACCUGGCUUAUAGUCUUCCAGAGCAC
rfam:Candidatus Woesebacteria bacterium RIFCSPHIGHO2_01_FTLL_44_21 rifcsphigho2_01_scaffold_6139, whole genome shotgun sequence.